rnacentral:lncRNA from 1 species
AUAACACUUGCACCAAAGAAUUAUGUAAGGAUAUGGAAUUAUGUACAACUAUGACACAUCAACAGACCCUUCCAGUUAAGUUAAAUUCUUAUCCUUUUGUAUCAGAUUUUAUUCCAUAUACAUACAUUUACAUAUUCAAAAGUAUUAAACACACAAUGAUAUAAGCAUAAAAAUCUUUGCAGAUUGAGAAUAAGGAUUAUGAAAUGAAAUGGUUGACCAUUAAACAUUUGAUCAAACAGAGACGACUUACUUGUAUUGUGCCUGCUUGAACCGCCAAGUCUUUUGUACGGAAGCAUUUUCUUAACAUUAGACCAAUUGUUGUGGUGUAGAGCAUUAAGUAUGGUAUACAUGCAUCCUGGAUGGCCACCCUCCAAAUGAAUUUUAGGGUUUUGGCGUCCUAUAUUCUUUCCCAUAUGAUACAGGUAUCUUCCAAGUGCUUCAGUGACAAUUCAUUUGAGUUGAAGGCCUCUAAGUUCCCAAAACUGAUCCAUACCACAGUACCAAUAGCAAAAUUUAAGUACAAGCGUAUGAGGGAACAUACCAAAAGCAAUAUAGUGUUUUCUCUUUCUUUUUGUUUGUGCAUAAGCAUCUGCAGUGACUAGCAUAUGUUCGCGACAACCUGAAAGGCUGAAACUACUGUACUCUAUUUUUUUACUCAGGAAAAGAAAAACAAAUGGCACCCUCUGCUUGAGGUAGACGGUGAUUAAAAUACAAGGAAAAUGUCAGAAUUAAUAAUAAUGAAAUUUUAGACAGAUUAAAAUACAACAUCAUAUCCAUUACAUAAACAACCUAAGAUUCAUAAUGAACAAAAAAAUGCACAAAAUUUUCCUCACCUUGACGAAAAAUUCUGGCUCUGCCAAGAAAAAGAUACCCCUUCAAGAUCAUAUUCCUACAAGAUUUUAUUGGUGAAAAUGAAAUCUAUGCUUAUAAAUAUUCAAAAAACACAUUUUACACAUUAUGUAGAAGCCUUGGACGAGGGGAUGAUUUUUAGUUAACUAAGACCAACUCAAUCAUAUUAUGACUUUGCCGAGGUGAUAUUUAUAUUAAAUGCAUCACUAGAACAUUAACAACAAUGUGAUAAAGGAGAACAUAUACCAGUUUCCUGAAUCAUGAAUGUUAUAUAAACACAAACCAAAAGUGUUUCCCAAUCCACUAUUAGAUGAAAAUCAAUCCAUAUAUAUAUGCAGAUGGUAUCAUGGUAAUCAUACAUAUAAUAUUUAUUAUAAUCCUUCCAUUCCAAAAUAUAAAAUCAACUCAUUUGAAACAUUUUCAAAAUCAAAAUUGACAUGAAUCAUUAAAUAAAUAUAGUAAAUUAUUUAAAAAGUGCUAAUAACUACAAUAUUUAUUGUUUUCAAAAUGUCAAUGAAUCACAUCUUAAAUUUAAAUAAAAAAAAAAAUAAUACAAAAAUCGACCGAGGAAGUAUAAAACAGUGCAAUGCAUUUAUGCGCAUACAAGUUUCUAGGGUUAAAUAUUUAUAUACCUCCAUGAGCAGAUCCAAAAACCAACUCGUAAUCUGUAUGAUGCUUCACAACAACGACAGAGGUUAAGAAACAAUGAGAUAAAAGGGCGAUCAUUACAGAUCUAUAUGAUGAUGAUCUUUUAUAAUGAUUAGAAAUAUCAAAACAAUUUCUCUGACCUUUUCUUUUUCGUUUUCUUUUUUUGGUGGCGAUUGGUUCCUCCUGCAGCUGCUAAUUUCAUCUCUUUUGGCGCCAUGCCAUAAAUCCGCCAACCGCUCUCCUCCGUAACUU